rnacentral:rRNA from 1 species
GACGAACGCUGGCGGCGUGCCUAAUACAUGCAAGUAGAACGCUGAAGGAGGAGCUUGCUUCUCUGGAUGAGUUGCGAACGGGUGAGUAACGCGUAGGUAACCUGCCUGUUAGCGGGGGAUAACUAUUGGAAACGAUAGCUAAUACCGCAUAAGAGUAGAUGUCGCAUGACAUUUGCUUAAAAGGUGCAAUUGCAUCACUACCAGAUGGACCUGCGUUGUAUUAGCUAGUUGGUGAGGUAACGGCUCACCAAGGCAAGGAUACAUAGCCGACAUGAGAGGGGGGUCGGCCACCCUGGGAGGGUGACACGGCCCAGACGGCUUCGGGAGGCAGCAGUAGGGAAUCUUGGGCAAUGGGUGGAAGUCUGACCGAGAAACGCGGAGGGAGGGAAGAAGGUUGUCGGAUCGGAAAGCACGGUUGUAAGGGAAGAACGAGUGUGAGAGUGGAAAGUACACAGUGUGACGGUAACUGAUAGGAAAGGGACGGCUAACUACGUG